rnacentral:tRNA from 1 species
GCUCCCGUAGCUCAGUUGGCAGAGCACUGGCCUUGUAAUCCAGAGGUCGUCAGUUCGAUCCUGACCGGGAGCU